AAAAUAUAUGUAUUUAUUUUUCAAUAAUUUGUACGCUUUGCGUCAAGUGCUAUUAUGCACUAUAUUUGUAUCCACUUACUUAUAUUCUGUAUCUUUAGGUAUUUAAAAAAGAGUAAACAAAAUCUACCCUCAAAUGAGAGGUAGAUGAAAACAUUACAUGAUCAAAUAAUGUAGGUUAAAGUCGUUCAGUGACAGAUCCAGGUGGUUUUGUAUUUGGCUGGUUAAUCAACAAAUGUUAUAACUACCCGAAAAUGUACAAA